GGCGGCGGCGAGGCCGCGUUCCCCCCGCUGUCUGGCGGCGUAUUCCCGCCGCGGGCAUAGCCCGCCGAACCGUCGUCUCACCUUGCGAGCGCUGCGGUGGGUGAGGAAAGGCUCGGGGCGCCCCGAGAACCCGCAGGCACUCUCGGCGGGCAGCCCUGCGGGGGAGGCGGCCGCCGGGAGCAGCGGCGGCGGGACGUGGUGCGCGCCAUGUGCCGGGCGGCAGCGGGGCCGGGGCCGAGCCCGCGGCGGGCAAGGGACGUGUCGCCACAGGGCCGCGGCUGCGGGGAAGGCGCGGGGUGAAAGAAGGGCGGGAAGCGGCGGGGCGAACGCGGCCCCCUCAGCGCUUCGGGCCGAGCCUGACACCGGCGGCGGGCGGCGCGGCUGACAGCUUCGCUAGCGCGUUCGUCGGGUUCUCCGCCUCCUCGUACCACACGUUUGCACGGAGUCGUUUACGGGCUCGGGGAAGUCUCCCCCUCGGCGCCCGCUGGCAGCCGAGAGCCUUCGUGUUCCCGCCGUGAGCGGCCCGUCCCGCGCGGGAGGGUGAGGGGGGGUCUGACAGGCCCGUCCUCCGCUGCCCGAGCCGGCCCUCGGCCCUUUCCUGUGGCGGCAGCCGUGCUGAUGUACCGACAGGAGCGCAAGCGUAAAAUUCCGGUGCCCCACACACGCUGCCCUGUCAGGCUGCACGUAUUUUAAAACACCCUUCAUCUGUCUUCUGUCAGAAGUGAAAUUCGGCAUUUCCACGAGCAGGAGGUAAAUUGGUGUAGAGAGCAGAGUAGCUUAUUCGGAGGCACCCGACAAAUCUUUUAGUUGUUGCUAGUAAGGGGCAGAAAUUGUUUUCAACAUCGGUUUAAGGAAUUUACAUAGCAAGCAAGAUCGUUGCUCCGUUCACCUGCGGAGCUGUUGGGGAGUGGUGUCCCAGCACCGCGGCCUUGGUGCCACGGAAACGCAGCCGAGGCCCUGGUUAUCCAGAGAGGUCUCUGUGGGAGCAGGGAAGUUCUUACAGGAUCCGGUGAAUAAAAUUAUUUUCUCCCUGAUCUCUAAUGAAGUUGAAUACCAGUAUUAAAAGCUGGUUACCCAUGCAAUGAAAGAAAUAAACAUUUCAAAUUUUUUUCUUAAAUAGCAAAGUGCUGUAUUAUAGAUACGAUAGUAUUGUAUCUAUUACAAAGUUUCUCCUUCAAACAAGACGCAGUGAGACUCGAUAGCAGCCGUUGGGCCGUGACCACUCGCCAAGGGGCUGUAGGAGAUGCAGUAGCACGGGCUUGCAGAGGGCCUGACGGUGUUGUGUUCUGCUGCAGCUUUAGUACAUGUCGCCUCGUGAGCUGAAAUGCUCUUUGUUGGUUCCUAAAGGCACAUCUUUUGUAAGACACUGGUCACUGGCUACUCGCAGCAAAGCCCAAUGGCACAGAAAUGGUAAAAUACUUGUUUUCCUCUGCUUGCAGUGCAGCAUGAGCGGCAGUUCUGUGCCACGGCACGCUUAGCCCUUUUCCCACUGCUCGGGACGGCGCUUUAUGCCUGAAGUCGACAAAUAUUUGUCCCGGCGGUGGCUGCGCCCCCGGGCACCCGAGGGCCCAAGGUCAGCGCAGGCUCGGCCGGCCCUCACCGGCGCGGGGGCAGCGGGCCGGCCGGGCGGUGCUCCUGCCUGGACGCACACCUCCCCGCCGCCAGGGGGCGCUGCGCCGCCGCAACGGCGGGGGGGGCGGGCGGCGCUCCGGCCGCUCUUUGUGGUGGUGGGCGGGGCUUAUCCCGCUCCCCCUGUGAGGGCGGGCAGGCAGUGAGUAACGCGUCUGGAGGGGCGGCCGGUCUGUGCUUCCCCCUCAGGGCAGCGGCCGCCUCCCGCCCCUCCCGGCGGUGCUAGCGCUGGGCUCCACCUUGUGAAGGCGUCCGUGAGAGCGCGGACGUCUCGGUUAGGGAGGGCAGAGCCCCCGGGUUCCCGCUGCUGCCCGCCGGCUUCCGUGUGGUGCGGUGCCGGUGCGGCGCUGCCUUCGCCCAGCCGUUCCCGCAGCCGGCCGGUCCUGAGGGGGAGGCUGCGCCACUGUGGCCGCCGGGUCCGUAGCGCCUUUAGUGGGGCGGGAGGCUCCGUGGCUUCCAGCGGCUCAAGGCAGGGUUUUAGAGCAGCAUCGUGUGGUUCUUGAGUCCACAAGCACAAAACCCGUGCACGUUAUAAUUCUCUGCUGAAAGGGAUUUCGUGCAGCAAACUCAGAUUAACUGCAGUAAGUUUCUGUGGUUUUGUGGGGGGUUUUUUUCUGUCAUACCUUAAACCUUGCUUAUAGAAACGUCUGCUUUGGAUCUCACAAUUACAAGGAGAUUGCUUGUCGUAAGCCGGGUGCUUUCACAGAGUCGUACUCUCCCUGAGACCUUUGAUGGGUGGAAGAUUCUGCGCAUACAGAAGUUCUCACUGGAACUGGGUGGAAUUCACUGUUUUCUUCAUUUCCGUGUGCUUCUGAAGGGAGAGAAGCUUAGUGGUUUAAAAAAAAUGGAAAGGAGUCUGAUUAGCUAAUAUACAACAGUGCAGAGAGUGCAUUUGUUUACUGCAGACUUGGAGCUAUAGCAAAAUGGAGAAAUCCAGAAGCAGUUCAAAAUCUCUGAAGAUGCAUGAAAUCCAACAACUACCUAGGUGUCAAAUGCCUACAACUGGGCAAUGUAUUGCUCCCCAAUCUACCAGACAUCAAUUUCAGGACAGAGGUCAUGACAAUCUGGAUCAAGUUGGGUAUACCUGUCAUCAGGAAAGAAGGUUAAAAGAAUUCCAAAUCAGAUAUCUAGCGAGGAAAUUCUUCUAUCUGUGGGCAAAAAAGACAUUUGGACAAGUUCUCCCUUCCAAAGUCAGAUGUUUUUAUGAGCACAAGAUUCUUCAAAAAACUUUUGGAGAGUGGAAGGAGUGGUGGACUGUUUGCAGAGAAAGGAAGCUCAGCCUCAGAGCAGACAGCCAUUACAGACAUUUACUGUGUAAUUUGAUAUUCAAGGCUUGGAGAGCCUAUGUAUGCCAGCAACAAGAAAAGAGGAACAAAUACUAUGUUGCAGAGUCCCAUGCGAAGAAGCAAAAAUUGCUCAGGACCUGGCAGUGCUGGCUGGUUUAUGUUGAUGUUCAAAGGACAAAACAUGGGAUGCAGUCUGUGGCAUUGGCGUUCAGGGAAAGAAGCUGUUUGCGCAUAUCGUGGGCAGUGUGGAGAAGACAACACUACCAGAACUGCACUGGACAUAAAAUGAAUGUUUUGGCUCUACAGCAUUGGGCCCAGAGCCUGCAAUUUCGAGCUUGGUUACAGUGGCGAGAGAUGUAUUUAUACAGCCUGAACAACAAGCAGAAGGAGGCUAGAGCAGUAACUCACCAUCAGCACUGGGAAUUGAAGAGAUGCAUGGAAGCAUGGCUGGGAUACUUAAACCUCCAAAGAGCAAAGAAACAUCAGAAAGCUCUGGCCCAAGAGCAUCACCGAAGCAGAAUAGUCUGGCAGUGUUUCUCUGAUUGGCGACUGUCAUGGGAAUGCAGGAGAAGAAUGCAUGCUCACCGAAAGGAUGUUGAAAAACUAGCAGCAAGGAUUGCUGUACGGAGAGCCUUUGCACACUGGAAGCAUUAUGUUGUACUGUGUGUGGAAGAGACUCAACAGUGUGAGCUGGCCGAAAAACACUACAAGCAUCAUCUGUUGAAACUUGGGUUUAAGGGUCUUUGGCAGAAUGUUGUGAACACUCGUCUUCAGCAAAUGAGAAAAAAUCUGUCAUACCGUCAGCAUCAAGUUACAGUGCUGCAGAAGUUCUGGAACUGUUGGAAGUCCCGUUUGGAAGAGAAGGAGGAAGAACAGCAGCAGGCCUUAACAUCAGUCGCUCAUGCCCAUUAUAGGAGGGUUUUGAUGAGACGAGUAUUUGACAUGUGGUUGCUGAAGGUGUGCAAGCUGCAAGAAUACCAAAUGAGAGAGAAGAGGGCUGUGCUUCAUUUUGAAAGGAAACUACUGCAUUUUUUCUGGUGCUUCUGGCGUAGAAGAACAGCUGCAUGUUUGGAGGAGCAAGAGGGCUUGGUUCGUGCAAAAGAUCACUACAGCACCCUGCUACUGCUAAAGACUUUCUGUCUGUGGAAGCAAAAUACUCAGGAGAGAAAAACAGAGAGGCUCAAGGAGAUGCAAGUCUUAAGAUUUCACUAUUCAAAGUGUCUGCAGCAGUCUUGGAACAAGUGGAGGGAGUAUGUGGGACAUCAACGUGAGAAAUGGAGGAAGUUGGUGCAAGCAGACAUGCACUAUUGGCACACAUUACUGGGCAAGACCUUCGGAGCCUGGAAGAGUUACCAACAUAACAUACAGUGCAUUCUAUACCAAGUAGCUGAAAAGGAGAAACAGCACACUAGACUACUGCUGCGACAACUUCUGUGUACAUGGAGAGAAAAUGCCCUUGCUCUUAUACAUGAAGCUAAGGCAACUACACGGGCAGAUGAGCACUACAGGAGAAUAACCCUGUCAAAGGUGCUGCUACAGUGGAGACACACUGCCUUGCUACAAGCGUAUUACCGUCAGCAGAAGAUGACAGCUGUGAUGGAGAUCAGAAAACAUUUGGAUAUAGUGUGUUUACAGACCCUGUUUCUUCACUGGAAGAAAUUAACUGGGGAGUCUCUGAUGCUGAGGGCCCAGCAGCACAGAGCAGCGCAGCACCACCAGCAGCACCUACUCCAGAAGUACCUGCUGAAAUGGAAGAAAUAUCAUCAGCAGUGUCUCGGGAAAAUGCUGCUACAGAGACAGGGAGAUCAGCUAAUGACUCAUAGACUUUGCUCUGCUUCCUUCUCUUGCUGGAAGACACGGAUGUUGCAGCAGCAAUGGGAAAAGCAGAAGACAGUGCAAGCAUUGUGGCACUGGUCCCUUUCGUUGCAGAGGAAGGUAUUUGAUGCUUGGCUCAGAUUUUCCAAGGGGCAAAAGCAGAAGAAAGAUCACAUUGAAACAUCCACAGGAGUUUACCACGCUCCUCUUCUGAGAGAAGGUGUAACCCGGGUCUUGAGAAACACUGCUGACAUGAAACAGCUGCAGGGACGGCUCCAGGCCCAGUGCCAGCUGAAGGUGAACAAGAAGGCAGCCUACAAUGUUCACCAGUCAGUGUAUCGUUGUGCCAUGCUGUGGAAACAGAAGGCUCUCUCCAAGAAAUUAAGUAAGCCUUGUUCUUUUCUGACACCUCUGAAUAAGCAAGUCACAUUUAAAAUGCUUGAUGUUAGCCCCAAGACAAGAGGACAUUCAGCAGAGGAAGAGCCAUGGCCUUCAAAAUACAGUCAUCUACCAUUUCACUUUGCUGAUGGGGACUCGGUUCUCAGUGAUCUAAGUUCUCUUCGACAAGCAAGGUUACCACCACAGAGGCAUGACUUCCUUCUGGAAUAUCUAGAAAGCAAGGAACUGCUGAGACCUCCAUUCACUAGGGACAAGACCAACAGGUUGCAAUGUACAGGGACCUCAUCCUUCCUUCACAGAUCAGAGGCACCCUUUCAGCAAACAUCUGUGAAUAAAUGUUCUUCGCAGACUGGGAACUUAAUGCCAACACCUCAAAUGGAAGAAAGUACCUUUAAACACUCAUCUCAAAUGGGCAAUAUCACUCAUUCCUAUCCAUCUCUCAUAUGUGCUCCUCUCCCGUCUAUACCACUGUGGACACAGGAUGUGCGCCAUGCUGUUCAGAGGCCAGAGCUAUGGUCUCCAUCUUUUGUGCCCCAAAUCAAAGCUGGAGCAGAAAUGAGAGGAGGCCAGCCUGUAAGUGGUCUCAAAGGAGCCCAUUCCCAAGACCCCCAACAGGACUCUGUGGGGAAGAAGUUGCAACCAAACUUGCAGCCACAUUUGCUGUCACCUGAAGACUUGGUGGGAAAAUGGAGUCACCAAACUGCAGCUGAAGGGGAAGAAAGGGAGCAUGGUUCCAGAGAAGAAAUAGUGUUACAGAGAAAGCUGGAAGUUGAACUCCGACACAUCCAACAGCAGAUGCAAUAUUACUUCAGCAGGAAGCAAGAACUCAAGUUCUGUCAGCAGCAGGCACAGAUUCUACAGAAGUGGCUAGAAAUGAGCACGCAGCCAGAGGACCAAGAUGGUGUACAAGGGGUUCAGGAAGAAUUGGACCAGUUGCAGGCGAGGAUCAACACUCUUGCCAAAGCACAACUAAAAGAGAGACAUCAGGUGCAGAACCUGGUUGCCCGCCUGCGUGACAUCCAGAUUGCUCUGAAUAUAUGAUGCAUCUGAACCAGUUUUCCAGCUCAUGGGAACAGAAACCUACCUGGGAAAUGACGUCGGUGUGACACUCUCCAGUCAGUGGAUGUCCUUAGAGGAAACUCAUUUUGCACAAAUGGCCAUGGGCAGAAGUUAAACUUGUAACUCUCAGAGAGAAAAACUGCUCAGCUUAUUAGCAGAGGACAUUCAUGGGCCUCAGCUCAGACCCUUG